rnacentral:rRNA from 1 species
GACGAACGCUGGCGGCGUGCUUAACACAUGCAAGUCGAGCGAGAAACCUUCGGGUUUCUAGCGGCGGACGGGUGAGUAACACGUGGGUAACCUGCCUCAAAGAGGGGGAUAGCCUUCCGAAAGGAAGAUUAAUACCGCAUAAUAUUACAGUUUCGCAUGAAGCAGUAAUUAAAGGAGUAAUCCGCUUUGAGAUGGACCCGCGGCGCAUUAGCUAGUUGGAGAGGUAACGGCUCACCAAGGCAACGAUGCGUAGCCGACCUGAGAGGGUGAUCGGCCACAUUGGAACUGAGACACGGUCCAGACUCCUACGGGAGGCAGCAGUGGGGAAUAUUGCACAAUGGGCGAAAGCCUGAUGCAGCAACGCCGCGUGAGUGAUGAAGGUCUUCGGAUUGUAAAGCUCUGUCUCUUGGGACGAUAAUGACGGUACCAAAGGAGGAAGCCACGGCUAACUACGUGCCAGCAGCCGCGGUAACAC